AUGGAGCCGACCUUGAAAUACCACCCUUUAAUGUUUGAUGUUCUAACGUUGACCCGUAAUCCGGGUUGCGGACAGUGUCUGGUGGGUAGUUUGACUGGGGCGGUCUCCUCCUAAAGAGUAACGGAGGAGCACGAAGGUUGGCUAAUCCUGGUCGGACAUCAGGAGGUUAGUGCAAUGGCAUAAGCCAGCUUGACUGCGAGCGUGACGGCGCGAGCAGGUGCGAAAGCAGGUCAUAGUGAUCCGGUGGUUCUGAAUGGAAGGGCCAUCGCUCAACGGAUAAAAGGUACUCCGGGGAUAACAGGCUGAUACCGCCCAAGAGUUCAUAUCGACGGCGGUGUUUGGCACCUCGAUGUCGGCUCAUCACAUCCUGGGGCUGAAGUAGGUCCCAAGGGUAUGGCUGUUCGCCAUUUAAAGUGGUACGCGAGCUGGGUUUAGAACGUCGUGAGACAGUUCGGUCCCUAUCUGCCGUGGGCGCUGGAGAACUGAGGGGGGCUGCUCCUAGUACGAGAGGACCGGAGUGGACGCAUCACUGGUGUUCGGGUUGUCAUGCCAAUGGCACUGCCCGGUAGCUAAAUGCGGAAGAGAUAAGUGCUGAAAGCAUCUAAGCACGAAACUUGCCCCGAGAUGAGUUCUCCCUGACUCCUUGAGAGUCCUGAAGGAACGUUG
rnacentral:rRNA from 1 species